rnacentral:rRNA from 1 species
GAUGAACGCUAGCGGCAGGCCUAAUACAUGCAAGUCGAACGGUAACAUGAGUAGCAAUACUUGAUGACGAGUGGCGCACGGGUGCGUAACGCGUAUGCAAUCUACCUUUAACCGGUGAAUAGCCCGAAGAAAUUCGGAUUAAUACACCAUAGUAUGAUGAGGAGGCAUCUCCUUAUCAUUAAAGUUCCGACAGUUAAAGAUGAGCAUGCGUGACAUUAGCUAGUUGGUGAGGUAACGGCUCACCAAGGCCACGAUGUCUAGGGGAUCUGAGAGGAUUAACCCCCACACUGGUACUGAGACAGGGACCAGACUCCUACGGGAGGCAGCAGUAAGGAAUAUUGGACAAUGGUGGCAACACUGAUCCAGCCAUGCCGCGUGAAGGAUGAAGGCCCU